GUCCCUGUAGCUCAGUCUGGAUAGAGCGGCUGCCUUCUAAGCAGCAUGUCGCAGGUUCGAAUCCUGCCAGGGACG
rnacentral:tRNA from 1 species